rnacentral:rRNA from 1 species
UUAGGAGUUUGGAGUUCUGGCUCGACGACUAGGAACGACGCGUGGGCCGACGGUCGACCUAACACAUCGACGACGUCGACGGUCCGGCACUCAACCGACCCUCAGUCUAGCUGUAGGUGAAGUUGAGUGCCGGAUAGUGGCGGACGGGUGAGUAACGCGUGGGCAACCAACCCUGUACAGUGGGAUAACACCGGGAAACCGGUGCUAAUACCGCAUGACACCUAGAUGGUGCAUACUGUUUAGGUUAAAGGAUUUAACCGGUACAGGACGGGCCCGCGUCCCAUUAGCUGGUUGGUGAGGUAACGGCUCACCAAGGCGACGAUGGGUAGCCGACCUGAGAGGGUGACCGGCCACACUGGAACUGAGACACGGUCCAGACUCCUACGGGAGGCAGCAGUGGGGAAUAUUGCACAAUGGGGGAAACCCUGAUGCAGCGACGCCGCGUGAGUGAAGAAGGUCUUCGGAUCGUAAAACUCUGUCCUUGGUGACGAAGGAAGUGACGGUAACCAAGGAGGAAGCCCCGGCUAACUACGUG